GAUGAACGCUGGCGGUGUGCCUAAUACAUGCAAGUCGAGCGAACAGACGAGGAGCUUACUCCUCUGACGUUAGCGGCGGACGGGUGGGUAACACGUGGAUAACCUACCUAUAAGACUGGGAUAACUUCGGGAAACCGGAGCUAAUACCGGAUAACAUGUUGAACCGCAUGGUUCAACAGUGAAAGACGGUCUUGCUGUCACUUAUAGAUGGAUCCGCGUCGCAUUAGCUAGUUGGUAAGGUAACGGCUUACCAAGGCAACGAUGCGUAGCCGACCUGAGAGGGUGAUCGGCCACACUGGAACUGAGACACGGUCCAGACUCCUACGGGAGGCAGCAGUAGGGAAUCUUCCGCAAUGGGCGAAAGCCUGACGGAGCAACGCCGCGUGAGUGAAGAAGGUCUUCGGAUCGUAAAACUCUGUUAUUAGGGAAGAACAAAUGUGUAAGUAACUAUGCACGUCUUGACGGUACCUAAUCAGAAAGCCACGGCUAACUACGUG
rnacentral:rRNA from 1 species